AUUAAAUUGUAUUAUUUAAUAACUCCUCGCAAUGCCUUUGUGAUUACUUAUCUAAAUAAACCACUGAUUCGGAUGUGGAGAGUGGAGACUUCAUAUAAACCAGUGGCAGACGUUAACGUGAUAAAUGACUUGGCUUGUUUGCAUAGCAGCAUAGAACUGGCAGUUGGCCCAUCUUUCUUUGCACUGACAGAGGCCACACUAGGAUGUGUGGUCCAGACUUAAGUGCUCAGAGAAGGGAUGUGGAGGGACAGUGCCACAUGAAGUCUCUGACAGCAAAGUGACCAUUCUGAUACUAGGAUGUUGGUAACCACAGAAGAAAAAAAAAACAAUUUAAACGAGGCUUGAAACCAGCAUUAAAAAAGAAAACAUUGGUGUAUAUUUUGCAGGUUCAAGACAACCCAAGACAGUGAACAAUGGACUAUAUAUGCAUAUAUAGACCUCUUGUAGGCACCAUAAUCAGUAUGAGCCAACUAUAUUUAAACUUGAUUCAGGCCACAUUUAGACAUAAGCUCUUAUUUACAAAUAUUUAAAUUAAAUACAACCUGAAGAGUGUCUUAUUACAUACAUAUAUAUAUAUAUAUAAAAGAAAAACUAUAUAACUCAGAGUAGUGUGUUUUAAAUAAUUACAUUUCCAUUGCGUCUCUGGGGAACCACGGUGGUGGUCAAGAUUUUAUGACUCCUUCCAGAAAAUCCUUUUCUAUCAUCUCUUCAAUUUUUUGCCUGGCUUUGCUGGAAAAUGCUUUGUGGUUCUCCAGUUUCAUGUCCUUGUUGGGGAAGGAGUUUGAGUAGAGGACAGGGCUCCCUGAGUGUCCUCCGCACCGGCUUGUGACUUUGCUGUUGAAAACUUGGCUGAGGACAUUGAAGAAGGGCAGAAGCUGCUCCAUGCUGCGCAUGGUGCAGAGGAGAAUCAAAUACAGCUUCACUGCUGAAAGACAGAAUACGUGAGAGCACAUGCAGACUCUUAUGGACUGGGAAGAUUCUGAACUAAGGAGAUGACAGAUGUAAUGAGCAAAGGCCCAGUGAUGAACACGUCAUCUCGUUACCUUUCUGCUUCUGGCAGACUGGCAGGAGUCAAAAGAGGUUACUGGAUCCCCCGGAACUGGAGUUACAGAUGGUUGUGAGCUGCCAUGUGGGUGCUGGCAACUGAACCAACCUGGUCUUCUAUGGGAGCAGCAUGAGUUCUUAACUGCUCAGUCAUCUCUCCAGCUUCCACACCUCAACUUCUUACAUGUGUACUCACAUGGUAAGCAUUACACCCUCAGCUACCUACCAAGAUGGAGACAUGAUUCUUAAAGUAAAACUGUAUAAGAUUGAACAAUAAUUCUUACAGAAUUAAAAAUGUGUUUAUACAUAUUAGUAAGCUGCUUCUAAAAAUAAUAAAACUACUGUAUAAUUGAUGGGAACAUUUUGGGAGAUCUAGAUGUAUGGAAUACCUUGGUCACAGGUUACCUGCCAUACUGGUUUUAUUAUCUAUUCCAAGUCUCAGGGACUAGAUCUGAACUAGCAAAACUAGUAUGAUGCAUUUAGUUGAGACAAUAGUAAAUUGUAUUAGGCAGAAUCUAUGUGUAGAAGCUGAAGGCCAUGAAUGCUGAUAAUUUAUUCUAUCAUGUCCCCUGACUAAAUAAAAUUAUAUUCAAUAAAUAAUAGGAGUAUUUUUAAUAGAUUUUUUAAUUUAUGUGUAUGGGACUUUUGAUUGAAUUUCUGUCUGUGUACCAUGUGUCA